rnacentral:rRNA from 1 species
GAUGAACGCUGGCGGCGUGCCUAAUACAUGCAAGUCGAGCGAAGCGGGGACGGGUGAGUAACACGUGGAUAACCUCCUAUAAGACUGGGAUAACUUCGGGAAACCGGAGCUAAACCGGAUACUUAUCGAUGGAUCCGCGCUUAAUUAGCUAUUUGUUAAGGUAACGGCUUACCACGGCAACGAUGCAUAGCCGACCUGAGAGGGUGAUCGGCCACACGGGAACUGAGACACGGUCCAGACUCCUACGUGAGGCAGCAGUAGGGAAUCGUCCGAAAUGGGCGAAAGCCUGGCGGAGUAAGGCCGCGUGAGUGAUGAAGGUCUUCGGAGCGUAAAACUCUGUUAUUAGUGAAGCGGUACCUAAUCAGAAAGCCACGGCUAACUACGUGCCAGCCGCCGCGGUAAUAC